UUCUAGCCCCGAUUGCAGUGGAAAUCCUUUUUUGCUGCGAUCCGCCAAAGGCGGAGACGCGCAAAAAAGAUUGAAACGGAAAGCGGGACCAAUC
rnacentral:sRNA from 1 species